rnacentral:lncRNA from 1 species
ACCCAUGCAUUUUGACCAACUCCUCCAACCACUGGAUGACAUCGCCUCUAAGCUCAGAAAGCUGCAACUUCUGCUUACACAAAUAAUGGGCAUUUAAUGUGGCACUGGAUCCAAUACUCAGCUUAUAUAGCUCCAGUCCCGUGAAUGCCUCCUGCUUCCUACUUUAUUUGCUGUCCUUAGUCUAAGAACAUGUCAACUUUGAUGUUAUCACACAAAUUAUAGGACAUGACGCACAGCCUUCUUGCCUGUUCAAUAACAGUGCAGAGAUCUACCUGUCUUGCUGCUGCCCAAGACCACGCUUCUGUCUCUACAGAAACUAAAGCUCAGGAGACUGACUUGCUGAAGGUCCCACAAUUAGUAAGUGAUAAAGCUGGGGACCAUGAAGCCAUUGUAAUUCAGAAUGUAUAAAAUGUUGCAACUGCUGCAAGAUUGUAUUUCAAUAUGUGGAUUUUUUUUCUUUCUUUCUUUGGAGACAGGGUCUUGCUCUGUUACCUAGGCUGGAGUGCAGUAGCAUGAUCAUGGCUCACUGCAACCUCAACCACCUCGGCUCAGCAAUCCUCCCACCUCAACCUCCCAAGUGGCUGGAACCACAGCUUCUUCAUACGGCAAAUGAAAUGGCUUCCCGGUGAAGAUUGAACCCAGGAGGCAGAGGUUGCAGUGUGGUGAGAUUGUGCCACUGCACUCCAGCUUGGGCGACAGAGCAAGACUUCGUCUCCAAAAACAAAAAAAAAAAAUUUGGAAAGAACUUAGAGGGGACGGUUUAUCUCUGCUCAACUCAGUGUCAGCUGGGGUGGUUCAAAGAUUGGGGGCUAGAAUAAACUCAAAACUCACUCAUUCACGUGUCCGGUUGGCUGAUGUUGGCUGUUAGCUGGGAGCUCAUGCAGAACUGUUGUCCAAAUAUCAACACGUGACUUUUCCAUGUUGAUCGGGUUUGGCUCUUUGUCCCCAUCCAAACCUCAUGUCAAAUUGUAAUCCCUAUGUGUGGAGGGAGGGACCUGUAAUCCCCAUAUGUUGAGGGAGGGAGGUGAUUGGCUCAUGGGGUUGGUUUCCCCCCAUGCUGUUCUCAUGAUAGUGAGUGAGUUCUCAUGAGAUCUGAUGGUUUUAUAAGGGGCUUUUCUCCACUUUGCUUGGCACUUCUCUCUCCUGCUGCCAUGUGAGGAAGGACGCGUUUGCUUCCCCUUCUGCCAUGAUUGCAAGUUUCCUGAGGCCUCCCCAGUCGUGUGAAUUGUGAGUCAAUUAAAACUCUUUCCUUUAUAAAUUACCCACUCUCAAAUAUUUAUUUAUAGCAUGUGAAAAUGGAUUAAUACACAUGUAGUGUUUGAUUUCCCCAUCAAAUGACAAGGUGGUUGGGUUCCCAGAGCAAGCAUUGCACACGAGAGAGAGAGAGAGAGAGAGAGAGAGAGAGACAGCGAGCUAGGAAACCUAGUCCCUGAAGUCGCAUAGUAUUGUCUGCUGCCUUCCUGUUUUGUUUGUUUGUUUUAGAGAUGGGGUCUUGCUCUGUUGCAUAGGCUAGAGUGCAAGUGGCAGAUCAUAGCUCAGUGCAGUCUUGAAUUCCUGGGCUCAAGCGAUCUUCCCACCUAAGCCUCCUGAGUAGCUGGGACUACAGGUGUGUGCCACCAUGCCUGGUUAAUUUUUAUUUUAUUAGUAGAGAUGGGGUCUUGCUAUGUUGGCCAAGCUUGUCUUGAACUCCUGGCUUCAAACUUGGCCUCCCAAAGCGCUGGGAUUACAGACACGAGCCACUGCACCAGUCUUGUCUUCGAUUCUUUACAA